rnacentral:rRNA from 1 species
AACGAACGCUGGCGGCAUGCCUAACACAUGCAAGUCGAACGAGAGCUUCGGCUCUAGUGGCGCACGGGUGCGUAACGCGUGGGUAUCUGCCCUUGGGUUCGGAAUAACAGUUGGACACGACUGCUAAUACCGGAUGAUGACGUAAGCCCAAAGAUCUCUCGCCCUGGGAUGAGCCCGCGUCGGAUUGGAUAGUUGGUGGGGUAAAGGCCUACCAAGGCGACGAUCCGUAGCUGGUCUGAGAGGAAGGUCCGCCACACUGUGACUGAGACACGGCCCAGACUCCUACGGGAGGCAGCAGUGGGGAAUAUUGGACAAUGGGCGCAAGCCUGAUCCAGCAAUGCCGCGUGAGUGAUGAAGGCCUCAGGGUUGUAAAGCUCUUUUACCCGGGAAGAUAAUGACUGUACCGGGAGAAUAAGCCCCGGCUAACUCCGUGCCAGCAGCCGCCGUAA